rnacentral:lncRNA from 1 species
AGACUUUAUUAUUUCACUCAUUACACGUAUAUCAUUCCUUCCAGAAUGGCCUAUCCCAGAAUAAUUGGAGAAAUAUCUGAUUCUUGGUAUCAAGAUUGCUGACCCUUAUACUCAACUCAAUGUGGUCCCUUAUUUAAGCCCGAACAUUGUUGAUUUUUUUUCUUGAAAAGUUGCUACAAAAGAGUCCUUGAAGUCCAUAGGCAAGACAAAAGUCAGGGCCACUGGUGAUGGCCCUUGCUGGCUUUAAUGGCUGACCAGACCCUGAGGACUCCACAGCUUCUGCUUCAGCCACCUUCCUAGCUAUUGGGGAUCCAGUCCUACUCCUGAAGUCCCCACUUUGGACUUGGCUCCAAGAUUAUAUGAAAAUAAGGCUGGAGUAUAGUUUGGAGGUACAAUACAUAUCACCAGAGUGCAUUGGAUAAAGUUAAUAAGGAAGAGGAAUCUCAAAAAAAUCAUUAAUAGGGUU